rnacentral:rRNA from 1 species
CAGUGAUAAACUGGAGGAAGGUGGGGAUGACGUCAAGUCAUCAUGGCCCUUACGACCAGGGCUACACACGUGCUACAAUGGCGCAUACAAAGAGAAGCGACCUCGCGAGAGCAAGCGGACCUCAUAAAGUGCGUCGUAGUCCGGAUUGGAGUCUGCAACUCGACUCCAUGAAGUCGGAAUCGCUAGUAAUCGUGGAUCAGAAUGCCACGGUGAAUACGUUCCCGGGCCUUGUACACACCGCCCGUCACACCAUGGGAGUGGGUUGCAAAAGAAGUAGGUAGCUUAACCUUCGGGAGGGCGC